AGAGAAGAUUUUCAGCCUGAUACAGAUUANCCCAUGCCGAACUCAGAAGUGAAACGCCGUAGCGCCGAUGGUAGUGUGGGGUCUCCCCAUGCGAGAGUAGGGAACUGCCAGGCA
rnacentral:rRNA from 1 species